rnacentral:rRNA from 1 species
UCAAGCAACUAAGCGCAUACGGUGGAUGCCUUGGCAGUCAGAGGCGAUGAAAGACGUGGAAGCCUGCGAUAAGGUUCGGGGAGCUGGCAAACGAGCUGUGAUCCGGACAUUUCUGAAUGGGGAAACCCACCCGAUUUCGGUCGGGUACCUUGCACUGAAUACAUAGGUGUAAGGGGCGAACCGGGGGAACUGAAACAUCUAAGUACCCGGAGGAAGAGAAAACAACAGUGAUUCCCUAAGUAGUGGCGAGCGAAAUGGGAAUAGCCCAAACCUGAGGCGUUACGGCGCCUUGGGGGUUGUAGGACUGCGCUGUGUUAGUUUAAAUCGAAUUUGAAUUACCUGGGAAGGUAAGCCGAAGAAGGUGAAAGCCCUGUAAGAGUAUUAUUUAAACGACUAGCAGUAUCCUGAGUAGGGCGGAACAGGAGAAAUUCCGUCUGAAUCUGCCGGCACCAUCCGGUAAGGCUAAAUACUACUGAGAGACCGAUAGUGAACAAGUACCGUGAGGGAAAGGUGAAAAGUACCCCGGGAGGGGAGUGAAAUAGUACCUGAAACCGAUCGCCUACAAUCCGUCGGAGCCUCCUUGUGGGGUGACGGCGUGCCUUUUGAAGAAUGAGCCUGCGAGUUAGUGGUACGUGGCGAGGUUAACCCGUGUGGGGAAGCCGUAGCGAAAGCGAGUCUGAA